ACCAGACUCCUACGGGAGGCAGCAGUGAGGAAUAUUGGUCAAUGGGCGCGAGCCUGAACCAGCCAAGCCGCGUGAGGGAUGAAGGUACAGAGUAUCGUAAACCUCUUUUGUCAGGGAACAAAGGCGGGGACGUGUCCCCGGAUGAGUGUACCUGAAGAAAAAGCAUCGGCUAACUCCGUGCCAGCAGCCGCGGUAAUACGGAGGAUGCGAGCGUUAUCCGGAUUUAUUGGGUUUAAAGGGUGCGUAGGCGGACAGUCAAGUCAGCGGUAAAAAUGCGGUGCUCAACGCCGUACAGCCGUUGAAACUGGCAGUCUUGAGUGGGCGAGAAGUAUGCGGAAUGCGUGGUGUAGCGGUGAAAUGCAUAGAUAUCACGCAGAACCCCGAUUGCGAAGGCAGCAUACCGGCGCCCUACUGACGCUGAGGCACGAAAGUGCGGGUAUCGAACAGGAUUAGAUACCCCAGUACU
rnacentral:rRNA from 1 species